AGAGUCAAGACAUCAACACAUGAAUCAGACAGGAUGAGAGGAGGAUAAGGCUAAAGACAGAGGCUCCAGCUACCUUGGUGACAAGGAAUGGAGGAGAAAAGGAACAGGAAAUUUUAAUAAGAUUAGGAGGGCUUGCUUUUCUGCCAAGUGAGAUGGAGUCUUGCUCUGUUCCCCAGCCUGGAGUACGGUGGUGCCAUCUCGGCUCACUGCAACCUCUGCCUCCCGGGUUCAAGCAACUCUCC
rnacentral:lncRNA from 10 species